rnacentral:rRNA from 1 species
UGCCAGACUCCUACGGGAGGCAGCAGUGAGGAAUAUUGGUCAAUGGUCGGGAGACUGAACCAGCCAAGCCGCGUGAGGGAGGAAGGUACAGAGUAUCGUAAACCUCUUUUGUCAGGGAACAAAGGCGGGGACGUGUCCCCGGAUGAGUGUACCUGAAGAAAAAGCAUCGGCUAACUCCGUGCCAGCAGCCGCGGUAAUACGGAGGAUGCGAGCGUUAUCCGGAUUUAUUGGGUUUAAAGGGUGCGCAGGCGGAUUUUUAAGUCAGCGGUCAAAUCGUGGGGCUCAACCCCAUCCAGCCGUUGAAACUGGGGAUCUAGAGUGUGCGAGAGGUAUGCGGAAUGCGUGGUGUAGCGGUGAAAUGCAUAGAUAUCACGCAGAACUCCGAUUGCGAAGGCAGCAUGCCGGCUCCACACUGACGCUGAAGCACGAAAGCGUGGGUAUCGAACAGGAUUAGAUACCCGCGUAC